rnacentral:tRNA from 1 species
UGGGCGGUCGCCAAGUGGUAAGGCCCCGGAUUUUGGUUCCGGUAUACGAAGGUUCGAAUCCUUCCCGCCCAGCCA